AAUAUUGCACAAUGGAGGAAACUCUGAUGCAGCGACGCCGCGUGAGUGAUGAAGGUUUNCGGAUCNUNAAGCUCUGUCCUUGGGGNAGAAACGGACGGUACCUUAGGAGGAAGCCCCGGCUAACUACGUGCCAGCAGCCGCGGUAAUACGUAGGGGGCGAGCGUUAUCCGGAAUUAUUGGGCGUAAAGGCUGCGUAGGCGGCUUUUUAAGUCAGAUGUGAAAGGCUACGGCCUAACCGUAGUUAGCAUUUGAAACUAAAAGGCUUGAGUGCAGGAGAGGAGAGUGGAAUUCCUAGUGUAGCGGUGAAAUGCGUAGAUAUUAGGAGGAACACCAGUGGCGAAGGCGACUCUCUGGACUGCAACUGACGCUGAGGCACGAAAGCGUGGGGAGCGAAC
rnacentral:rRNA from 1 species